GGAGGGAAUACUGAUGGCUCCAUUCCGAUACGUGAGCAAGUAAGGAAGAGCAGACUGGCUCCGAUCCGAUUCCAGUGAGCAAGGUGUUCGUCCGCCUCAACCCUUCCAUCCAAGCUCCACCCCAAGUUCAAGAGACCGAGGACGGCUGUGGAGCAGGCCCUGAUGCGCAUAGAGUUGGCGGCGGCAGUGGAUGCCUCGCACCAGGGACCACUUCCGACCUCUUCGAUUGGCAACAUGGGUACCCCACUAGCUGGCCUUGGGGAUGUUGCGAGCCAGCACUCCGACGUGGAUGACGGCACCACCAAGGAUGCUACGGAUAGCCAAGCUGUAGGUGGCGUGG
rnacentral:lncRNA from 1 species